CAGCCGCCACGGGAAUACGUAGGUGGCAAGCGUUGUCCGGAAUUAUUGGGCGUAAAGGGCUCGCAGGCGGCUUCUUAAGUCUGAUGUGAAAGCCCCCGGCUCAACCGGGGAGGGUCAUUGGAAACUGGGAAACUUGAGUGCAGAAGAGGAGAGUGGAAUUCCACGUGUAGCGGUGAAAUGCGUAGAGAUGUGGAGGAACACCAGUGGCGAAGGCGACUCUCUGGUCUGUAACUGACGCUGAGGAGCGAAAGCGUGGGGAGCGAACAGGAUUAGAUACCCCCGUAGUCCCUGUCUCUUAUAC
rnacentral:rRNA from 1 species